UCUUUAAAGAUGUAUUUGAACAGCUCUCAGCAUGGGGCUGGAGCCAGGCUUUCAUUCUGCCACGCAGCUUACAGUGUCUUCACAAAUCCAUGCAGUCCCAAAAUAUUUGCAAUCAGAAUUCAGCUCCAGGGUACUUAUUUAUUUGCUGCAAUAUUGUGCAUCUUCUAUAUAUCCUCAUGACUCUAACUUUGAAAGGAAGAAGCACAGAAAGGAGCAGGGGGUAAAUGAGAUAAUAAGCAUUUCCAGAUUUAUAAAAGGCUGUUUGUUGCUAUUUUUUUCCUCUCUUUUUUUUUUUUUUUUUUUCCUUGCAGAAAAGGUCUCUGUCCAGUAAGUCAAAUUCCUUGAGGGAUUUAGAGGAACAUGACACUAGCCCUCUGUCAUUCCAUCUGGAGGCCUUGCACCUCAGGCUGUGCCUUCCUGAUACAUUUUCUUUUGCAGCAUCAGCUUAAAUCACAGCCUCCCUGUCCUUGUCUCUUGCCCCUUCUCAGAUGGUGUUCCUCCCCUGACAUGGCGCAGUACUGCAAAGCUGCAGCUGAGUAGGGUGGAAUAAAAAGAUUCAGGGAAGCAAACAAUAAGAAAAUAUUCAUCUGGUUUGGCCACGUUGCUUUUAAGCUGGAUCUGUUCCCCAAACCUGCUCUCAGCACAGCAGCUGUGUUGGCAGGGGAGAAGGGAAGGCACGCAGGGGUGUGAUGUCAGGAAUGAGAGGUGGUGGAGGGAGAGCAGAAAAGCCACCAAAAACAACACACCUCAGUGCUAACGAAUCAAUUUGUGUCUUUGCAUGGAACUGUUCCAUGAGAAGAAGUAAAUCACAGGUCCUGCAUCCUCCCCAUGCUGCACCAUGCUCGGAGCACCCGUAGUGUUGGUGCAGAGCCCUUCUCCACACCAGGGACAGGUUUGCUCUGAAAUCUGCAAAAGAAGAAAGUUGGGGAAGGCUCAGCUUUAGACCUCCAUGCAUUUCAGCCAUGUCUGUGUACUCAAGACCCUGGAUUUAAGGAAGGCUUUGGAAUAAUGUGGGUAGGGAUGUGAGCACCAGAAGCCCUAUGGAAAUAUCCCCAGAGUUCCUGAAGUCAGCUCGUGCUGGCUCCACCGAACAGAGCAUGGCUCCAUCCUCUUGCCACCCUCCCUUUGGGUAUUUAUGGAUGGGAUGAGGCCAUGCGAAGGCCACCAGAGAGCCUAUUCCCAGAAAGCGCCACCGGGACACUCCAGGCUCUGCGUGGAGUACACAGCGCAAUACAUCUUCACACCGCGAGACUGACGUGCAGAUGAUGGAUGCCAACAGUGCAGGAAUUCUCUUUAAGGGAAGAAAGGUCCAUCACAAUUCACCACGUCCAGCUCAGAACCAGACGAUGUGCCGUUGUUUAAUGAGGUCAACAUGUAGGAAACCAUCGCCUGAUUUGCUCUCACUUCACGGAUGCUUCACAUUAAAAAUCCACUGGGCGCAAGGAAGUGUCCAGUCUGCUCACCUGAAGGAUGGGAACAGUCUGAGGAGGGGGAGGAAUUGAGGUGGUCACAGGGAGAAAAGGGGCAUCACCCUCAGUUCCCUCUCCCAGGUGGCACAGAUAAAGAUUGGCUUUUUUCUUUUAUCUUUUUCUUCUUUUUCUUUUUCUUUUUCUUUUUCUUUUUUUAAAAAAAGGCAGGGCUAGCUAAAUUCUGGACCCUUUAACACGGAUUUCAUCUCACCAUGCCCAGCAGAAGCCAGGGUUAAAACCCAAUGCAGCUCCAGGUUCUUCACGUUGCAUUUCCAACAAGUGACCCUCUCACAUCCCAGGGACGUGCCUACCCUGGGUCAGCGCAAUUUGCAGUCAGUUAGGGUUUCAUUUUGCAAAUCCUUCUCCGACCAGCGCUUGCUCACACAAUGAAUCCUUUUACCUCAUCAGGCCCGAUGACGUGAGUCUCGGCAAUUUUCGUGGCCUCAGCCCCUGACCUGCCAAAAGCAUGGGAAAAAAAAAUGUUCCCCUCAAGGGCAUUGCUAUGAAGGAAGCCCAACGGACCUUGAAUGCUGCAAGAACACCACGAUUUUGCACUGUGAAUAAUGUCUACCAGCAAAGAGCACUCUGGCACUGCAGUGCUUUGCUGUCGUCAGUGCAAAAUUAACAACUCCGUAAGGACAAGAUAUUGUAGAUCCAUCCCUUUAUUUUCUCUUUUUCCCCUCCGAGUCCCCACUGGGGAGAUUUCAUUAAAUGAACGUUAGACCAUGGGUGUUUGCUGCAUUUGCAGCACAUAAUUAGCUGGCAAGGCUGAAAUAAAGUAUCUGCUGUAACCUCGGCUGCCAGGCUGCGAGGCGCAGCGACCAGAUUUUAAGGGAGAUGCUACACGGGCUGCGGAAAUAAUGAUUUCUCCCCUGGGAACCCAUGGAAGCUGUUCUUUUCUUGCACGAGGACUCCUGGAAAUGACGAGCCUUUAAUGAGCAGAUCCCAGGAGAGGAGUGCAGUUUGAUCUCAGGUGAUGCACUGGCGGUGAACUCUCCUGAAAUAGCUGCCGAUGGUUAAACAAACAGGACUUCCCAGCGUGAACUUUGCGAGGGAGAAAGCCCUUGUCCUACCGCUAAAUCAACAGAGCUGCCGAGCAAAAACACCCGGCACACGCAGACCUGCAGCGCCGCAGCCUUGAGCAAAACUCUGCAUUUAUGACUGUUAUCUGGUCACCUUUCAAAUAUGAGCAUUUGAUAGUGAGGUGUGUGUCACCGACCCAGGAAUUUAUUAGCUUGCAGUCAGGAGAAAGCAGUCGGUGCUUCUCAGGGAAAGGAAGUAGCUGCUGUGCAUGCCAAGCACCCAAUAAAAGUGAAUUUUGCUGUAACAUGGGAGAUUUCUCUUUUUAUUAUCAAACAAAUUCUGUUUCUUUACUUAACUCUUCCCAGGUGAGGAGGGAAGUGUUGCUCUGUGUCAGUCACAUGAAACAACCUUUAAUGGGCUCGUAUGUCACCGAG